GCUGAGGGCCACAUAGAGAGUGCCGAGUUCUAUUGGACCCAGGCAGUGACCCAGACCCCAGUCCUUGGGCUGCUGGGCUGAGGGAAUGCCAGGCUUCCUUCCAACUGAAGGGGCCUGCAGUCUCCUCCUCCAGGCUGCAGCAGAUACACCAUCCAGAAACCAGUCUGGCCUAGACAGGACCAUGACCUUCCCCUUUCCAUGCUGCUCAAAGACCACCAGACCAUCCCUGGAAUUGAGAAGGGCAAUGAUACAGUGAAAAGAUCCUUGUCUUUGGAAAUGACCAACCAAAAGGAGAAGCUAAAUAUCAAGUAAGAACAUCUGAUGAACAAAGUCGUGGCAAACCCUAAGGACACCAGCUUCCUGGAGGCUCGAAUUAUUCCCUUGACCAAAGCCCACAAUUAUGAAGAACACAGCAGAAACACUGAAAUAACAAAACCCACAAAUACUAUUGGUGAUGGGCACUGUCCAGAGGAAAAAGAUGCUCAAAAACCUUCGUUAGACCAAUAUGAUGUCUCUGAGAAGACACACUGGGGACUGAGCACAUCUUUUUGAUGGAGCAGCCCAUUGCCAAGUCCUGACUGAGAAGACUGUGCGUUCUGGAUGUUCCAAGAGACUCAAAAGCUGAAGAAGCAAAAACAGCCUUUAAAAGUUGCAGCAGCAGCAGCAGCAGCAGCGGCAGCUCAAAACAUGACCAGAGGAAUCCAGAGAGCCCUGCCAAAGCCUGACCAGAAGUACUCAAAGAAAAUAA
rnacentral:lncRNA from 10 species